AAAUAAUUGAGGAUCGGACACAUAUUACGGCUUUAUGGCCGCGUCAAAGGUUUUUAAAGUUUUAACAAUUUAAAGCUUGGGAAAGUUACUGGCCUCUCUACCACCACAGAAUAGGAAAGGAGAGGACAGGGUGACUUUAACAUCUGUCUAGGGACUACAGAUGAAAAAAAGCCUCUUGGCUAAUUCUGGCGCAUUUACAACAAUGUUAUUAAUGUGCACUGUCUCUGUUUAUUCAAAUAAACGUAUCAUUAUUAUUAUUAACCCCCCCUCCACCCAAGACACUCAGCCACCCUUGUCUCCAUCUGAGGCGUCACCUGUCCUAUCAAGUGAUCAUGAAGGAGAUGAGGAUGUGGAUUACCACACAGUUCCACCAGGCGCCGAUCUGCAUCCUGCAGUCCCGGGUCUGCCAUGUAAACAGUUGCAUUUGUUGCACUUUCUUUUUACUCUGCCCUUGUUCUAAUUGUUGUUACAGAUGUUUUAUUAGGUUACUGCAGCUAAUAUCUGUUACUGUUUUUAUAAAACUACUCCAUGUGGAGACAAAAUUAUACAUUUUGUUGUUGUUUUCAUUGAUUUUAAUUACACAUAGAUUAUGCACAAUUGUACAAAUUGAUGAAGCGCAAGGUAAAUGUUAUAUCCAAAAGUUCCAGUAGAUGGCAUUACACUAGCCUAAUGGACAUUGUAUUUCCCAGACAGUUUCCAUGGGAAGUGGAAAGUAAUCUAUUUGGCACAGUUUGUGCCAAAAUGAGUGUCCGCCUUGUUGUAUCCUUACUUAAACCUUUAUGGAGGCUUAGCCCUUUGCUCAAAGUCUAUCAAAUUUGAUAAAUAUGUAGUCAAGGAUUUGCUGAAGGUAAUCAAUGGCAUCUGUCUGUAUGGAAUCAUUGUUGGCUUAGUUUUAUCCUGUGUCAAAUAGGGGGGAAAAUCAGGCGUGGAGAGAAAUUUCACAUUUUUUCACUGGUUUAUUCCAAUUUACUCAGGCAUAGUGGCAGACACAACAUUUUUUACACUGGGAAUACAUUCUCUGAAGUUCCUCGAUAUCCAAGGACACCAAGAACAUGCAUAUGAAUGAUUUAUAGUGGAGUAAUUCUUCAUUUAUUUUGGGUAUGUCUUUUUAAGCAUUUUAUCUGAAAAUAUGGCCAGGGCUUAAGAGGUUAAGACAUACAACAGAAACACAAACAGAAGUCAUUAUACAUAUACUAUCCCUUAACCUAAAUCUAUUAUUAUUUUAAUAAGAUUAUCUUUAUUCAUAAGCAUGGUGUAUUUGAAAAUACAGCUAGAUUAGGUGGAUCUUUAUCCCGGUUAAACUGAACCAUUGUAUUUAUCUUUCUUCUGUUGUUCUAAGUCAAUUGUAUUAGCUGUAUAUUCAUCAUUUCAGAGGCUUUGAUAUUAAUGUUGAUAUUAAAGUUGCAUUAAGUUUUUCCCUUUCUGUCCUUCGAGUUUUUAAAAUCAGCUGCUCUGUCUGAAAAACUGUGAGCAGACCAGAUAUAGACGCCUGUAGGUAGUCGAAGGCAGAGACUUGCUUGUGACAUAACAGUUAACAGUGGUUAAACACUGUAUGAGUCUACUUUUCUUCAUUAAGCAGAGAUAAGACAAAUAGUGUUAAAAAAGACAGUGACUUGAAGUUAGUAAAAGAGUCAGCCGUUCUUCUCAAACUCUUUACUUGUUCAUACAGUCGCUGCCAGCUUUCUUUCUGUAGCUGUUCGACAGUAGAUAUUAUCAAUCAUUUACUGUCCAUUCACACAGACAGCUGACAUGUAGGAUGUUCAAAGACUCUGACAUGGGAAAAGCUCAAAAGAUAUUGUGAAGCCAACACAACUUUUGGUUAGAAACGCUAAAUCAAAUGACAUCAACCAGUGAUAAUAAUAACAACGCACGUUAUUUGCAUAUUAUUUGUUGUCUGGUGAAGAUUUUGUGUACGUUUUUGUUUAGUCAUUAAAAGGCAAGGCAUUUCAUUUGUACAGCCCAUUUUUACAAGCAGUUUGUCUCAAAGGGCUUUACAUCCCAUCAUAAAAACAUCCUCUGUCCUGAGACCCUCACAUCCACUGAGGGAAAACUCCAUAGAAAACCCUUUAACAGGGAAAAAUUGGAGAAACCUCAGGGUGAGCAACAAAGGAGAGUUCCCUCCCCCAGAUGUCUUAACCCAGCAUGUCUGGAUAGAGCUGUUUGAGCCUGACUAUUGAGAGCUCGGACUGACCCAAGGAAACAGAUGGAGCCUGUAUGGCUACAGUCUGUGGCCGGAGCAACACAUUUAUUUAUGAGUUUAAUCGCUAGUAAACUUAAAUGUAUGUGUGCUCCAGAUCUGGCUCUUUCUCUCUAUAACUCUCUUAAACAGUAAUAAUGAGUUGAUUAUGUUAUAUUUUUCCAUCUUUGCUGAGCUUAAGAUUUGUUCAGAAUUAAAGAAAUGCCUCUCCCAUAUAGAGAAAUACCCUACUAUAUUGACAUGUCUGCAUCUGGA